GGCUAUACGACUGGUACAAAAAAAGACAAAUCUGCCCUCAGAGCUUGAGAACAUCUUCGGAUGCAGAGGAGGCAGCCUCCGGUGGCUUUAACGCCAACGUUCUCAACAAUAGCCA
rnacentral:misc_RNA from 1 species